GACGAACGCUGGCGGCGUGCUUAACACAUGCAAGUCGAACGGAAAGGCCCUGCUUUUGUGGGGUGCUCGAGUGGCGAACGGGUGAGUAACACGUGAGUAACCUGCCCUUGACUUUGGGAUAACUUCAGGAAACUGGGGCUAAUACCGGAUAGGAGCUCCUGCUGCAUGGUGGGGGUUGGAAAGUUUCGGCGGUUGGGGAUGGACUCGCGGCUUAUCAGCUUGUUGGUGGGGUAGUGGCUUACCAAGGCCUUGACGGGUAGCCGGCCUGAGAGGGUGACCGGCCACAUAGGGACUGAGAUACCGGCCAGACUCCUACGGGAGGCAUCAGUGGAGAAUAGUGCAAACUGGGCGGAAGCCUGAUGCAGCAACGCCGCGUGCGAGAUGACGGCCUUAGGGUUGUAAACCGCUUUCGCCUGUGACGAAGCGUGAGUGACGGUAAUGGGUAAAGAAGCACCGGCUAACUACGUG
rnacentral:rRNA from 1 species